rnacentral:lncRNA from 1 species
ACCCUAAAGAAUCUCAUACAAUUAUGAUUAAAAAAAUAUUUAAGUAUUUAUUUAAAACUUAAAAUAUUAGAUUAUAGUAUUCUAAGCAAUCCUCAAUCAAUCUAAUUGGCUAUUUAGAUGCUGAUUUUGCAAAUGCAAAUUAGAUUGAAAGAGUAUAAGUAGAACUUAUCAAUUUUUAGAUAUAAAUUUGGUCUCAUUAUUUAGCAAAAAAUAAAAUUUGGUAG